GACGAACGCUGGCGGCGUGCCUAACACAUGCAAGUCGAACGGAAAGGCCCUGCUUUUGUGGGGUGCUCGAGUGGCGAACGGGUGAGUAACACGUGAGUAACCCGCCCUUGACUUUGGGAUAACUUUAGGAAACUGGGGCUAAUACCGGAUAGGAGCUCCUGCUGCACGGUGGGGGUUGGAAAGUUUCGGCGGUUGUGGAUGGACUCGCGGCUUACCAGCUGGUUGGUGGGGUAGUGGCUUACCAAGGCUUUGACGGGUAGCCCGCCUGAGAGGGUGACCGGCCACCUUGGGACUAAGGUAGGGCGCAGACGGCUACGGGAGGCAGAAGUGGGAAAUAUUGCACAGUAGGCGGGAGCCUGAUACAGAGGCGCCGCGUGCGGGAUGACGGCCUUCGGGUUGUAAACCGCUUUCGCCUGUGACGAAGCCGGAGUGACGGUAAUGGGUAAAGAAGCACCGGCUAACUACGUG
rnacentral:rRNA from 1 species